GUCAGCUCGUGUUGUGAAAUGUUGGGUUAAGUCCCGCAACGAGCGCAACCCUUAUCCUUUGUUGCCAGCGGUCCGGCCGGGAACGUCAAAGGAGACUGCCAGUGAUAAACUGGAGGAAGGUGGGGAUGACGUCAAGUCAUCAUGGCCCUUACGACCAGGGCUACACACGUGCUACAAUGGCGCAUACAAAGAGAAGCGACCUCGCGAGAGCAAGCGGACCUCAUAAAGUGCGUCGUAGUCCGGAUUGGAGUCUGCAACUCGACUCCAUGAAGUCGGAAUCGCUAGUAAUCGUGGAUCAGAAUGCCACGGUGAAUACGUUCCCGGGCCUU
rnacentral:rRNA from 1 species